CCGCACUAAAUGGGGUGGUAGCGGUGCCCUGUAACCUGCAAACCGCUAGAGCAGGAUUGACGCCGUGGCUGAGGAUUUUUUCUUUCAGGGUCUGGCCCUGAUAAGUAGUGUUGACAAUUGGGUCUCGCGCAAUGAAGUCUUGUGAACCCCGUCAGGUCCGGGAGGAAGCAGCGGUAAGCAAGUCGCUUCAUGUGCCGCGAGGGUGCCUGGUUCGAGCCAACUGUCAGGGUAACGCCUGGGAGAAAAUCUUCGAAGCUCGGUGUGCGG
rfam:Halanaerobium kushneri strain ATCC 700103 genome assembly, contig: Ga0104713_104